UUUAACUUUAACCACAUUUCUUGAAAGUACAAGAGAAACUCCAACUCCAAAAGAACUAAAAGAUCUAUAAAAAAUUAGCCAAACCCCCUAUUAUCUUCUUUCGACCACGAAGAUUCCACCCGUAAUGGCUUCCCUGCCAUUUCACUUCAUUUCAAUCUCAAUAACAAUGUUCUUCGUCGCUGCAUCUCCACGCCGAAGCAGUCCAUAGCUGCGAUGGUGAAAGGGUCUGGUUAUCCGCCUUUGCAUCCAAAUUUGAGGAGAUGUAUGUCUGUUGAUUCUAAAUCGGUUUCUAGGUUUUUGAGUUAUGAAGAAUCCACACAUGGUGAUUCAAUGAGGCUUAAAAAGAUGAAGGAUCCUUUGAAAGAAAAGAGACAAUGGUGGGAUGAAGUUAUGAAAGAAAAUGACGAAGAAGGAUUAUUUUCAAUCUUUUUGGAUUUGGAAUCAUGGAUUUUUUUUAUGUUAGUAGAUUUGUUUAUUCAUUUUUUGGGUUGAAGACGAUGAUGGAUUGUUUAUGAAUUUUUAGGUUGAAGAAGAUGAUGUAUGAGCUUAUUUAUUUUCUGGGUUUGGAUGAGAUUUUGUAUGGAGUGAAGAUGAAUAAAUUUUAUUUCUUUAAUUAAAA